CCUACGGGCGGCAGCAGUGAGGAAUAUUGGUCAAUGGGCGCGAGCCUGAACCAGCCACGUAGCGUGAAGGAUGACUGCCCUACGGGUUGUAAACUUCUUUUAUAAAGGAGUAAAGUGAGGCACGUGUGCCUUAUUGUAUGUACUUUAUGAAUAAGGAUCGGCUAACUCCGUGCCAGCAGCCGCGGUAAUACGGAGGGUCCGAGCGUUAUUCGGAUUUAUUGGGUGUAAAGGGAGCGUAGAUGGGUUGUUAAGUCAGUUGUGAAAGUUUGCGGCUCAACCGUAAAAUUGCAAUUGAAACUGGUAGUCUUGAGUACAGGAGAGGUAGGCGGAAUUCGUGGUGUAGCGGUGAAAUGCUUAGAUAUCAAGAAGAACUCUGAUUGCGAAGGCAGCUUACUAAACUGUCACUGACAUUGAUGCUCGAAAGUGUGGGUAUCAAACAGGAUUAGAUACCCCUGUAGUC
rnacentral:rRNA from 1 species